UACGGAGGGAGCUAGCGUUGUUCGGAAUUACUGGGCGUAAAGCGCGCGUAGGCGGCUUUGUAAGUUAGAGGUGAAAGCCCGGAGCUCAACUCCGGAACUGCCUUUAAAACUGCAUCGCUUGAAUCCAGGAGAGGUGAGUGGAAUUCCGAGUGUAGAGGUGAAAUUCGUAGAUAUUCGGAAGAACACCAGUGGCGAAGGCGGCUCACU
rnacentral:rRNA from 1 species